GUUGGACCUUGUGAUGCAAUGCUGUAAUGCUGCAGCAGGCUGUAUCCCACUCCACUGGAGAUGUCAGGGCAUGCCAAGGUCAAGAGGACUAGAGCUAUAUUUCUGGAUGAGAAAUUGCAGGUAUCAGCCGCAGCAUGAGGACUGGAAAGGUGAGCUGGGAAUUUCAAUCCGCGCAGUAAAGUGGAGUGAAGGUUAAAGUUUUAUGCGCCCAGGGACAAUGAAGAUUGAUUGCUUGGAGAAUUGUGUUUUGUCCGCAAUUACAGGGGUUGUGAGGCUGAAAAUAACUUCCUUUUCGGUUAACAUGGGCAGCCUAUAUCUCUCUGUUCACUGCGCAGCGCGUUGUGUCAUGUCUCAGAUGCGACCAAGACUGAACGCACGGACUUCUCCAGAGCGCCGAGGUGCUGCAGUGUGUGUGUGUGUGUGUGUGUGUGUGUGUGUGUGAAACUGGAUAUUUAAGAGCUCGGAUCGGCGGUGACAGUGGACACACACACACACACACACACACACACACACACACACACACUGCGAGGGACGUUGAGGACUUGAACGCGGCAUGAAGCAGGCGGAGGGAAUGAGCGCUCGCCCUCGUGCAGCGCGUGCAGUGAUGCGCGUCUAUAAACGUGACUGAGCAGCUCAUGAAGCAGAGGCGGUAUGUGGGAAUCAUCAGAGCUGUUUCAGAUAGCGGUGAAGCUGAAAGAGCAUCUCGGAGCAGUAGCCCAUCUCAACCAUCCAGCGGUUCACACAAACAUGAAAACACACAGGCAGCGCGCGCUUCAAGAGGAGCAACUCCAAGUUCAGUUCAGGUACCUCACCCCAGCUACAAGGUAAAGUAUGCUUUAAUACCUUGUUUUGAGAGUGUAUGUGCAGAUUACUGAGUAGAUUUUCACUACCUACUGUUAGUCUUCAUUCUUCAGCUUUUAACAUGGUGUGAAUAGAAGCAUGUUGCAAGUUAAAGGAAUAUUUUCUAGGCUAAUUUUCUCUCCUUUUUCCCUUUAAAAGUGAAAACACAUAUCAUAGCCUCUCCCAUCCUCUCCUCCUUUAUUUAGCUACCUACAGUCAAAAAGGAUCAAUCUAACACCCUAACAUUUUUUCUAACUUGUCUCUCUGAUAGAACCCUUAAAGGUUCUAUGUAGAACUGAAUAAGCAGGUUUUCCUUUAAGAGAGUAUCAAGUAGAACCUCUCGAGACAGCUAGAACCAUUAACAAUCCAAAGAGGAACUUUUUCGUUUUUUUCUCUAAUAGCGUGCUGUGAAAGUAGGCCUUUGCUGUCUAAUGCUUUGCACAUUGACAUUCUCUUUAAUUUCCUGCAGUGCGUUUUCCCCACAGGGUCGCAGUUCAAAACGCUUUCUGUUCAGUUCAGUUUUUAACAGAAGAUUUUAAGUGUCAGUGUGUUGGCAGUCCUUUAGAGUCCGAGCCUUCCGUUAGCCCAAAACAGUAUUUCUCCAUCGGGACUUGAUAAGAACCCUAUAACAAACAUUCUAAACCAAUCUGUGAAAAAUGUGCCACUCAGUCCUGACAUGUUACAGAGACUGAUGAAGAAGUCAAGGAGUGCGGCAGUUCCUGCGGCAGAAUGUGGAAAGUGCAGAUUUUAUCUAGUCCACUCGAUUUUCCUCAGCGUAUGACGAAACGGGUCAGAGGUUCUUAACUGCAGUAUUGCAGAGUUCCCUACCCUCAACACACCUAACCCACUUUUAGCACCUAAUAAUUAGCUGAUUGGUUGGCAAUAUUGAAAAGUUUAAACUGUACAGGAUAGGCGUCCCCAGGAAUGGAUUUGAGAACCACUUUGAUAAGCAGAACCCUUAACUGUUCAAUGUAGAAAUCUUUGGAGUAGAAUCACUUCUGAAGCUAAAAACUAUGCAAAGAACCCUUGAAAAAUCCUUGAAGUGUAUAAAUAGCUAAUCUUUGAACUUGUUCUUGGUAAAGAGAGCUGAUGAGAGAAAUUGAAAUACCUCAUUCAACUGACAUUUCUUUUUUAGUCAGUGCAGGAUACUCUUAUUCUCGUGUCUUUUUCCUCUCGGAUCAACCACAAGAGACAUGCGAUGACAUUCAAGUGUCUUUGGUAGGUUAUUUGCUAAAUUAUUGUGAUGAUAAUAUGAGAGAUUAUGAACUGAAGAAACACUUGUGUUGUAAAUAAGCCUAAAUAGUUUUGGCAUAGCCUAAAUAGGCAUAUUUAUUAGUUGCGUGUAUCUCGUCACAUUUUGCUGAGAGUAGGGCAAAGAGCAUUUUGGGCUAAAAUAAAUGCAAGCUUUGAAGUAUUCCUACAGUAAUGAGCAAAUUAGUUUAUGUCAGUUCUUGAAAUGUAACUGAAGUCAGUAAACAUACACCUCUUAACUAUUAGCUGAGGUGUCUAUGGAGGGAAGAAGAAAGAAAUCGUAGCAAAUAUGACUUCUUUUUCCACUUUUAUUCUAAUCCCUCAUGAGUUAAAUAUACUGUUGGUAUGAGCUUUAGGAAAACCAUGCUGCUAAAAUCCCCAACAUGGCUCUGGCCCAGCCUGAGCUAGGCUUUUCAUGUGGAUUGAAAGUCAGAAAGAGUUUUGACGAAACGAAACAAUCAUUUAUUAAAGCUGUAAUGAGCUCACCAGUUAGCUAGCAGCAUUUUCUUUUCCACAAUCUUGACAUAUUCCAUUAUCAGCUUAGUGAGCAUCUCUUAUGAAAUUGCAUGCGAUUAAUGCUGAUCAAACAGGAAUAAGGAAAGUUACUCAAAUAUGGCAGAUGCUGAGCACUCAGAUUUUCCUUUUGAAUAAAGCACAUAAAGUGCUGCACAGGGCUCCUACGCUUACUGUUUGAUUCCACUCCUGGCACUAAAUAUGCGGAUUGGCCGCUGCUGGUACAGAGGAAGGAUGUUGUCGGGCCUGAGGAUUGUGGAUAGUGGGGUACCAGUAGGCUAAUGGAACAGUGUGCAGCAUUGUUCUGGUGGCAGGCAGAGCUAUGGCUCUAUUUGUGGUGGGUCCGGAGUACAAAGAGGACACAGUACAAAGCAGCCUCAUACCGACCUCGACAUCACAGCCCACACGUUCUGCCUCAGCUUUAAGGUGGGAAAGGCUCUCGGAAGUGUUCAUUGUGGCUGCUCCCGUUGGCCUUGGUGCCUCUUAUGUCUUUGCAGUGUGUAUAAUAGCCCAUUGUUACAAUCAAACAGCCAAGGAGAGACGUUUUACCAAAGCAGAGUUCCAGUCACGUAUCUGCCGUUGUCCUGAUUGUCUAACAGCUACUUAUUCUUUUGCAUCAAUACUGUAAUUACAAGUCCCAUUAAUCGCCUGCAGCCACCGCAGCAAGGCACCAUGCGAGCUCAUUUAUCUAUUUUGCUGUCAAACUGAUAAUAAAAGGCUUUUCAGAUAAGGAAUGGGAUAAAUGCAUUAAUGGCUGGCAUAAUUCUCUUUUAAGGUGAGCUGAAAUACAACUUCCAUUAUAUGAUUUCCUCUUUCUCUGCAUUUUAAUACAUUCUCCUAGGUCUCAUAUUGGAUGAAACCAAAACAUUUUAGAUUGUCCAAUUCCGGAUAGUGUCCUUCACUUUUCCAAUAUAUUGUCACUUAGAUAUAAAAUCACGUCACCCCUCCUUUCUGGCCGACAAUGUCAAAGCUGUACAGAACACCACAUCCAUAUUCACGCUCUCUAAUUUCCUUGCUAUCUGAUUGAGCCCAGGCCAGAUUUCGCCCGUUUUGUCAGCGUGCAAGUUUCCCCCAUCGACUCUUCUUUCUGUUCACCUCGAUGUCCUUGGGCUGCCUGGUAUCGCAUGGUGCUUGGUCAUGCAGCUUCGGAAGUCGUUUGACCCUCAAGGAGCUAUGAGGUAUCACUGAUUAUGUCUUUCUACUUAAUGUGAGAGAGGCAUAUUAUGCAUUAUACAGUAUGGAAGACUUCACAUUGUUGCAGUGAGAGAUAAAGUGCUCAGAUGUCGAGUAUCGAGUAAAAUAUCUUAAACAAGGACAUCUCUGAAGUCAUUAGAAUUUUCGAAAAGAUAGCCGUUCAUGUGCCACAAUCUUUUGGGAUUUAAAUACCUGAGAUAAAAAUGGAAAAAUAUUCUGCACCAACAGUGACCGAUUUCUCAGGCAUAAAACUCUCAAGAGAUUUUUUGUCUUUUUGCUAGAAGGUGACUUAAAAUGUCAUUAACCUCACUUUGAGGCAAUUUGGGCCAUGGUGGUGUUUUUUUUCUUUUCUUCUGGAGUGGCUGUGGGAGAGGGGCUACCCGUCUCACAUGUAAAGUGAAACACGAGGGCUAUUUUGAGUGCAUGUGAUGAAUGUGGCAGUCCAUAGAAUCUCUGUUUUUCUUUCUUUCUUUCUCUCUCUCUCUAUCUAUCUCUCAGGGAGCGUGGAAGCUGAAGGUGACCUGUGGCUGGGCCAGGGGCUGCAACACAGGACAUGGGAGCUGCCUCUCACUCCCGCUCGUGUCUUGUGUUGCAGCCAGUGGAACUGCUGCACUGUGCACAUCACAAGGACGUCCUACAUCAGAAGCUGACUUUUUUUGUGUGUUUAGCAUGUACAUAAAUGUGCGCAUUCCUAAAUAAAAAUUCAUAAACAUUUUGCUGGGUGACAGUAAGUCCAUUCUAGCUGAAAUAGGACUUUUUUGCUUGUAUAAGCAAAGGCAAAUAUUGCUGCAGAACAACAGACAAGGUCAACAUUAUUGCACCUGUAUUUGUGUGUGUGUGUGUGUGUGUGUGUGUGUGUGUGUGUGUGUGUGUGUGCGUGCGUGCACGCACUGCUUGUCUGCUCUUGUAUUAAUGGUGUAUAAUCUACUUCAAGGUUAGGGUUGAAUAACACAGAUGGAGAAACCCAAGAUUGCAUUCUCCGCAUGUUGCUGCUCUUCCUAUUCAUAGUUGCCAGGCUGAGGAAGUGGAAUCACGGUCAAAGUAAUCAUUUAAACUCACAAAACAAAGUAAUUUUCUGUCAGGGUUUCACCCGAUUGGAAUUUAGACCCAAGAGUAAAUCCAAAAAGUUUUCCAAUCAUGUCUAAGCUCUCUCGCUGGGUUCCGAAUACAGCACAAUAGAAAUGGCUGCAAUUUGUAGACUAACGGAGGUUAAAAUCGGAUCUUUUUUUCAGCGCAGCGUAACGACACAGAGGCUGAUUACAUAAUGGCAUUCAAACAUACUAACAAGACGAUCACAAUACGUUGUUUUCAUGUGUCAAAAUUCAUACGUUGCCAUCCAUUUCUUUUAUUUUAAUGGGUAAAUUGCCAGCAAUUUUUUGACACAGAUGAUGACCAAUUUUGCAAGCAGAUCAAGCACACCAGAUUAAAUUCGCAACACGUGUAACAGGCUCGGCACCAAUCAAGCGCCUCAGUGCUGCUGAUUUCUUUUUUAUUCCUUGACAGACUUCUUAUCUCCUACUUCUUCCUGCUACAUUAAAGAUUUCUCUAUCCUAGCAUUUCAGUCACAGUCCUUUCUGUCUAGACGGAAACUAGAGUUAGCUAUAUUUGCUGCCAAGAUAAACUUCCCAGUUGUCCCAUAACAUACAUAUGGGACGUGUAUAACAAGCACUGCUACUUGUUAUACAGGGUGUCCCAAAAGUCUCCAUAUAUACUGUAGAGGACAGUACCUAUAUACAGCAUAUAUGUUUGCCAGCACCAUGUCGGUUGUACCUUCGUCAGUGGAUGUUCGUGGACGUCCACUCGUCCACUACUCAGUUUGUCCCCAACACUUCCAUUCUUUUUGAUUUUGUUAAUAAGUUUGGCAACAGUUUGGUGUGUGUGAUGCGAUUAGCGUGUUUCCUGUUAAAGUCCAUCGUAACCUUGCGAAAGCUUCCUGAUCCAGCCACAAGAAUGAUUUCAAUACAUUCUUCUUUCGUCAAAGGCAUUCUUAAAG
ensembl:lncRNA